GCACUAAAAGUGUGACUUAAGAAAGUCAUUUGAUUUUCCUGGGUUCACUUCUCCACCUGAGAAAAGAAGGGACUUUGCUAGCAUUAUUCACAAUAGUCAACACAUGGAUGCAACCCAAGUGCCCAUCAACAGAUGAAUGGAUAAAGAUGAUGUGCUUUGAAUUGCUCAUAAGGACAUCACCUUACCUGCAUCUUCAAGCCUGCUCCAAAUCCACCCCCAGAAUGUCUUGUGUCUCAUUAUUUGUCAGAGACAUAGGAAGGGAGUUGCAAUAGUGGAGGAAGAAAUCAAAUAAGUUCUCAGAAACAAAUCUACUCUUGUUAUUUUAUUCUAGCCUUUUAACUGAAAAGCCUCACCACCACACUCAGAGCCAGUGCUAACUGUUUGAUUAUGCUGUGGGAAUCCACUCUGAGUGUCAGCAUGAGGCGUUAGUCCACGAUGGGCUGAGACUUCAGUGCAAAGUUGGAACAGAAGGCCCCUGCUGAUGACUCCAUUUUGCAAUUUAUCACACAAACGUCAGGGGAGCAAUAUUUGUGCCUCUAGUUUCACAGUCUUUUUCAAGACAGAAUUCAGUUCACUUUUGCCCAUCCCCUCUUCCCACAGGGCAUUAAGACUAUUGCACUAACAAGUGGAAAAGCAUAUCCUGUGCCAUCUCCUCC
rnacentral:lncRNA from 1 species